CACGGGGUUGCGAGCGUUGUCCGGAAUUACUGGGCGUAAAGAGCUCGUAGGUGGUUUGUCACGUCGUCUGUGAAAUUCCGGGGCUUAACCUCGGGCGUGCAGGCGAUACGGGCAAUACUUGAGUGCUGUAGGGGAGACUGGAAUUCCUGGUGUAGCGGUGAAAUGCGCAGAUAUCAGGAGGAAUACCGAAGGCGAAGGCAGUCUUCCAAGCCGUUAUUGACGCUCAACUGCGAAGGUGUGGGUAUCAAACAGGAUUAGAUACCCUGGUAGU
rnacentral:rRNA from 1 species